UACGUAGGGGGGCAAGCGUUGUCCGGAUUUAUUGGGCGUAAAGAGCGUGUAGGCGGCCAUACAGGUCCGUUGUGAAAACUGGAGGCUUAACCUCCAGACGUCGGUGGAAACCGUAUGGCUAGAGUCCGGAAGAGGAGAGUGGAAUUCCUGGUGUAGCGGUGAAAUGCGCAGAUAUCAGGAAGAACACCCGUGGCGAAGGCGGCUCUCUGGGACGGUACUGACGCUGAGACGCGAAAGCGUGGGGAGCGAACAGG
rnacentral:rRNA from 1 species